GUGUGCGGGCUCGGCGGCCGCGUCUGGGUUCGUUUCUUUAGUUUUGGUAGGACUUUAAGGCCAGCAGCGCUCGCUUCUUCGGAGUCGGCGCUGUCUCUGCGGUAGUACAUCAGGAGUUUGUACUUGGUUAUCCGCAGCGAUAUCCCGGUGCUUUCAGUCUCGCGUCGUUUCGCCAGCCCGGCGCAGUGCUUCAGUCCUGCAGUUUGUGUGGUUUGCCUGUCCCAUCCGCUUCAUGGCUCCCAGUCACCUUCUGUGGGUCAGUUCACGCCUGUGGUUGUGAUACUGGUACGUGCAUCUUCUCAACCAAAGAAAGCAGACAAACGAUGCGUGAAAGCAAAACGGGCCUACAGAUACGAAGUGAAAGUGAGUGCAGUAGUGUUGCAAGUCUCCGUUCAGGCUGUGUUUGUAUUGGCAGUGACGCGAGAGAGGGCUUAGUGGUUUUGUUUAAUGUUAAGGGGCUUCUGAAAGGGCAUUGUUUUCACUGCUGUGAUGCGUUGCGAUAAAGGAACAGUGGGAUUUGUCAUGCGGACUGCAAGGGAAAACGAGAAGAGAGCCAAGGGGCUCCUUGAUGUCUGACUCCCUCAACAGGAGUGCCUGGGAGACCGCUUCUGAGCGGUUCCAUGGUGUAAUGGUUAGCACUCUGGACUCUGAAUCCAGCGAUCCGAGUUCAAAUCUCGGUGGAACCUGAGAUUUUGUCCGGGAGGACAUUUGGUGAGCGGCCGCCAUCGUGGGGAAGUUGGGCGAAUGGUUCGUUGGCUUUUGGAGUGCUGUGAGUUACUGACCUGUGCUGCCGAAAUCAGGCGUAAAGCGGAAGAG